UCUAAGUUGAGCGUGUUAAUGGAUUCACGUGUAAGCAGUGAGGUGGUCAUGUAGGCAAAUCCGCAUGGCAUAACAUUGAGCUGUGAUGCCGAAGCCGUAUGGCGAAGUCAACUGAUGUCACGCUUCCAAGAAAAGCUUCUAGGGUUAAUUUAGUAAGUGCCCGUACCGAUAACCGACACAGGUAGGCGAGGAGAGAAUCCUAAGAUGAGCGAGAGAACUCUUGUUAAGGAACUCGGCAAAAUGACCCCGUAACUUCGGGAGAAGGGGUGCUUGUGAAAGCAAGCCGCAGUGAAUAGGCUCAGGCGACUGUUUAUCAAAAACACAGGUCUCUGCUAAACCGCAAGGUGAUGUAUAGGGGCUGACGCCUGCCCGGUGCUGGAAGGUUAAGAGGAGAGGUUAGCGCAAGCGAAGCUUUGAAUUGAAGCCCCAGUAAACGGCGGCCGUAACGAUAACGGUCCUAAGGUAGCGAAAUUCCUUGUCGGGUAAGUUCCGACCCGCACGAAAGGCGUAACGAUCUGGGCGCUGUCUCAACAAGAGACUCGGUGAAAUCAUAGUACCUGUGAAGAUGCAGGUUACCCGCGACAGGACGGAAAGACCCCGUGGAGCUUUACUGUAGCUUGAUAUUGAGCACUGGUGACACAUGUACAGGAUAGGUAGGAGACGAAGAAGCCAGGACGCCAGUCUUGGUGGAGUCGCUGUUGGGAUACUACCCUUGUGUUACUGGGGUUCUAACCCGUGGCCAUGAUCUGGUCAGGGAACAGUGUCAGGUGGGCAGUUUGACUGGGGCGGUCGCCUCCCAAAGAGUAACGGAGGCGCCCAAAGGUUCCCUCAGAAUGGUUGGAAAUCAUUCGAAGAGUGUAAAGGCAGAAGGGAGCUUGACUGCGAGACCUACAAGUCGAGCAGGGACGAAAGUCGGGCUUAGUGAUCCGGCGGUACCGAAUGGAAGGGCCGUCGCUCAACGGAUAAAAGCUACCCCGGGGAUAACAGGCUGAUCUCCCCCAAGAGUUCACAUCGACGGGGAGGUUUGGCACCUCGAUGUCGGCUCAUCGCAUCCUGGGGCUGUAGUCGGUCCCAAGGGUUGGGCUGUUCGCCCAUUAAAGCGGUACGCGAGCUGGGUUCAGAACGUCGUGAGACAGUUCGGUCCCUAUCCGUCGUGGGCGUAGGAAAUUUGAGAGGAGCUGUCCUUAGUACGAGAGGACCGGGAUGGACACACCGCUGGUGUACCAGUUGUUCUGCCAGGAGCAUAGCUGGGUAGCUACGUGUGGACGGGAUAAACGCUGAAAGCAUCUAAGCGUGAAGCCCCCCUCAAGAUGAGAUUUCCCAUUCGAAAGAAGUAAGAUCCCUUGAAGACGACAAGGUAGAUAGGUCAGAAGUGGAAGUGUGGUGACACAUGGAGCGGACUGAUACUAAUCGAUCGAGGACUUAACCU
rnacentral:rRNA from 1 species